rnacentral:misc_RNA from 1 species
UCCGAGUUGACCCCGGCAGUCUCCUAUGAGUCCCCGCCAUAACGCGCUGGCAACAUAGAACGAGGGUUGCGCUCGUUGCGGGACUUAACCCAACAUCUCACGACACGAGCUGACGACAACCAUGCACCACCUGUACACCAGCCACAAGGGAACCGACAUCUCUGCCGACGUCUAGUGCAUGUCAAACCCAGGUAAGGUUCUUCGCGUUGCAUCGAAUUAAUCCACAUGCUCCGCCGCUUGUGCGGGCCCCCGUCAAUUCCUUUGAGCUUCAGCCUUGCGACCGUACUCCCCAGGCGGCAUACUUAACGCGUUAGCUCCGGCACGAACAGAAUGAACUGCUCACACCAAGUAUGCAUCGUUUAGGGCGUGGACUAC